rnacentral:lncRNA from 1 species
CACCUCGUGAAGCAAAAUGGCCUUUUACAAAUGCCGUCGCAGUUUGCGAGUGAUAUUUGUUGAAAUCAUAGAAUCGUUGGUAAUUUUCAAAAGAUUAUUUGCUUCUGAUUUUAAUUUUAUUCUGAAAGGAGUUUUGUAGCACAGGCUCUCCUCUCUCCAAUUGUGGAGUCCUGUUGCAGCAUGUUUUUCAGUGCUCAGUCCAGAGCGAAGCAUCUAAUAUACCUCAGUUGGUUCUUACCAGGAUUCCAAGAAGCAUUGCCAUGGUGAUAGGAGGAGUGGAUCCAGUCUUUAGUAUCACAUCUGUGAAAUAUGUCAAGUGUUAUUCCUAGUUAGUGAUCGACUAAUACACUGUACUCAGGAGAAACUGAAGGAUGAGUAAAUAAGGUACAUCUAGCUUUGAGGAAUCCGCACUAGCAGUACUGUUGUAUCAACAGCUCUUCAUAUAACAAAACAAGACAGGACCUUGUAGAAAGCUAAAUGAAGCUCCAGUAAAUCUUUGAGAUGCUCUACAACAGGGAUAAAUUUAGAUAUUUUUUUAAUUUCACAUUGUAUCUUCAUAGUAAAACUUUAUUGUACUGUAAAAACAACUGUACUGAGAAAAAUGUUAUAAAAAGUGUAUGUAGUUUAAGGAUAUUCAGUGGUAAAGAGUUUAAUAAAACAGUAAAUAGGAAUACUGUCAUACAUCUUUAAUGUCCUACCAAUAUUUCUCCAUUGGUUCAAACUAGAAUUGGAAAGACAGUUGAUUCUUUUUUUUUCUUUUCAUCUGUUGAUCAUUCAUAUAUAAACUAAAAAUAGAUACAUUAUGGACCACUUAUUUGUGGUGUUAGUACAUCAACUGGUCCAUUAAAUUGUACCAAUUAGUUUAAAGUCUUUUUUGUUACAUCAUCAUAUAUUUCAGAUUGUAACACUUGUUGUUCAUUCAUAUCAGUGUAAUAACUGUACCAAAAGCCCAUGUAUUUAAUAGAUAAUUUAUCAAAAGUAUAUGUGAUGCCAACAAAAGUUCAAGUUUUAGUAUGAAUAAUGGUAUUUAUUUUAAUAUAAUUCUGUAUCAUAGAAGAUGUUAAUCAUUUUUGUAAGAACACCAGUGUAGAAGUUGGAUUCCUGUGGUUCUUGUACAACAGACUAAACAUUAAUUAGCAUCUUUGUAUCCAUAUUUUGAAUUGUUUCAACUACAACCAGUUCAUAAAUCUCAUUGAGUUUCCUGCCUUGCAAGAGUUCAAGUUUUAUGAAAGCAUUUAUUCAUCACAGAAUUUCAUUCCUAUGUUUUUUGUAUUUUAAUGUUCCAUUCUUAAUAAUUCAGUAAUUUUAUUAUCAUAGUUUUAAGUACAUUAUGAAAGAAAGUACAAUUUCAAACUUAUGUAAGAUAUGUAGUAAGAAACAAUGAUGAAGAACUGGGAGAGGAAACAAGUAACCCUUUAUAAAAUUAUAUUUUACAUUUCAUGUAAAAUAAUGAUUAUAUUAAUAGUAACCAACCUUACUUGUAAUUGGCUUAGUUCAUUAUUUACUUAUGUUCUUAGAAAUGUAAAUAUGUUAAUUUUUGUAAUGAAAUUUACAUAGCAAUGCUCAUCUGCUUAUAUAGAGUAUUGUUAAAAAGGACAAUAGUCUUCAGUCGAGAGUUCAAGUAUAGAUUUGAUAUCAGAUUUUGAAAGUCUAUUAUCAAGAUCAUUAUUUUUUAAAUUUCUUACCUUUAAAGUUUGUAAAAGCAAGUAAAACAAAAGUACCUUUGUCUAAAAGACCAGCCACAUGGUAGGCUUAAAGAAGCCAGUGCUAUUAAUGUUAACCAAAACCUUCAAAGGCUAAAUUCAGUGGUUUUCAAAUUGCCAGAAGGUUCUUUGACACAUGGAGUUUUUAAACAUUUUAUGUGACCAAAUAGCUGAAAAAGAUGUAAAAAGAAUGUCUCGGAAUUCCUUAGAGAAUAUGGCAAAGUCUACACAGUAGUCAAAAAAACUUACAAAGAUUUCCCAAAACCGGUAAACUUUGUGUCAUUGGAACACGUCCCUUAUGCUUGGGUCCCCCUUUUAGCACAACAUGUACUGCAGGUCCUGCACCAUUCUU